rnacentral:rRNA from 1 species
AAUGCCUACGGGGCGCAGCAGUGGGGAAUAUUGCACAAUGGGGGAAACCCUGAUGCAGCGACGCCGCGCGAGUGAAGAAGUAUUUCGGUAUGUAAAGCUCUAUCAGCAGGGAAGAUAAUGACGGUACCUGACUAAGAAGCCCCGGCUAACUACGUGCCAGCAGCCGCGGUAAUACGUAGGUGGCAAGCGUUGUUCGGAAUAACUGGGCGUAAAGGAUGCGUAGGCGGUUAAACAAGUUAUAUGUUAAAUAUAUAGGCUUAACCUGUAGAAAGCAUAUAAAACUGUUUAACUAGAGUGCAGGAGAG